CACUUACGGGAGAUCGUUCCCAAAAAACUCUAUGGUGCUAGGGUGAAGUUCGAACAUAAUCGCUCCUUACGCAUGAAAUUGCAGGAAAAAAGGGCUUGUAAUUCGGCUACGGAGAUUUCCGCCAUUUCCAUUCUUCAAGAGUCGCUCCUGUUUAAGGGAAUCAACAAUUUCUACCGCACAAACAAGUCCUUGGAACAGC